rnacentral:tRNA from 1 species
GGGAAUGUGGCUUAGUGGUAGAGUGCUUGCCUAGCAUGCAUGUAUGUAGCCCUGGGUUCAAUUCCUCAGUACCA